CAGCCGCCACGGGAAUACGGAGGGUGCAAGCGUUAUCCGGAUUUAUUGGGUUUAAAGGGUCCGUAGGCGGAUCUGUAAGUCAGUGGUGAAAUCUCACAGCUUAACUGUGAAACUGCCAUUGAUACUGCAGGUCUUGAGUAAAUUUGAAGUGGCUGGAAUAAGUAGUGUAGCGGUGAAAUGCAUAGAUAUUACUUAGAACACCAAUUGCGAAGGCAGGUCACUAAGAUUUAACUGACGCUGAUGGACGAAAGCGUGGGGAGCGAACAGGAUUAGAUACCCGUGUAGUCCCUGUCUCUUAUAC
rnacentral:rRNA from 1 species